CAAAGAGGGCGAGUGGGGGGAAAAUGGCCCGUUCUCCCGGCUUUUGCUUGGCGAGUGACGUACGAUCCCGCCUUAAAGGAGGAGCGCCCCUCACGGCCCACCGGGAUGACUCCCCAGGAGGCACGGGGAACAUCUUCCGAGGACAGCUGAAAUCCAGAUGAAUUCAGAAUCUGAGGAGAAAACAAAUCAACCAAAACCAUCAAUGGGAAUUUUCUCUUUAAAAAACAUAUUAGUUUAUUGAAUUUCCCCUGGACAUAAUAUAAACACAAGAUGUUCACUAGUUGAAA